rnacentral:rRNA from 1 species
AGAUUGAACGCUGGCGGCAGGCCCAACACAUGCAAGUCGAGCGGCAGCACGGGUACUUGUACCUGGUGGCGAGCGGCGGACGGGUGAGUAAUGCCUAGGAAUCUGCCUGAUAGUGGGGGAUAACGCUCGGAAACGGACGCUAAUACCGCAUACGUCCUACGGGAGAAAGCAGGGGACCUUCGGGCCUUGCGCUAUCAGAUGAGCCUAGGUCGGAUUAGCUAGGUUGGUGGGUAAUGGCUCACCAAGGCGACGAUCCGUAACUGGUCUGAGAGGAUGAUACGACGUACAC